rnacentral:rRNA from 1 species
UACGUAGGGUGCAAGCGUGUCCGGAAUUAUUGGGCGUAAAGAGCUCGUAGGCGGUCUGUCGCGUCUGGUGUGAAAAUCCAGGGCUUAACCCUGGACCUGCAUCGGGUACGGGCAGACUAGAGUGCGGUAGGGGAGAUCGGAAUUCCUGGUGUAGCGGUGAAAUGCGUAGAUAUCAGGAGGAACACCGGUGGUGUAAACGGCUUUCGUGGACCAUAACUGACGCUGAGGCACGAAAGCGUGGGUAGCAAACAGG